AUGGCAACGGGGGGCGGGGCCUCGGUGGCCGCCGGGAGCCGCCGUGCGGACCUCCCCGCAGGGAUGGAGGGGCGCGGGGAGGAGGCACCAGAGGAGCCGGAGGUGUCGGAGCCCUCAGAAGAGGAGGAGGAGGAAGAGGAGGAGGAGGAGGACGAAGGCUCCGGGGUGCGGGUGACGCCGGCGCUGCUCAAGGCCACGACGGGCGAGUUCUCGCUGGAGUCCAUCCUGCUGCUGCGGCUGCGGGGCCGCGGCAUCGCGCACCUGGGCUGCCUGGCCGACUGCUCCAACCUCGAGUGGCUGGACCUGUCGGGCAACGCCAUCGCGGGGCUGGCGCCGCUGGCCGCGCUGCGCGCCCUGGCCGUGCUCAACCUGGCCGCCAACCGAGUGGCCAGCGUGGAGCCGCUGCGGGGCUGCCGCAGCCUGCGCCAGCUCAACCUGGCGGGCAACCGCCUGCGCAGCCUGCGCCAGCUGCGCUGCCUGCAGGGCCUGCGGCACCUGGAGAGCCUGCGCCUGCGGGACCCGCGCGGCGGCCUGGCCAACCCGCUGUGCGCCGCGCCGGCCUACCGCGCCGCGCUGGCCGCCAUGCUGCCCGGCCUCAAGGCCAUCGACGGGCAGCGCGUGGCGGGCCGCGGCAGCGAGCUCUUCCGCCUGUGCCGCGAGCUGGACGCGGCGCUGGACGGGGAGGGCGCGCCCGCCGCCGCCGCCGUGGCGCCCGCGGAGCCGCCGCAGCCCUGGGUGCGCGCCGGGUUCUGGGAGGCGCGGCCGGCGCGGCGCAGCGCCGUGCUGGAGGAGGCCACGCGGCAGCUGGGCCAGGCCCUGCGCGAGUGCCGCGAGCUCGGCCGCCGCGCCGACGACUCCAUCGCGCAGGCGCAGCGCGCCCUCGGCCGCCGCCAGCACGGCGACUUCGGGUUCUGAGCGCCGCGGGGACACGCGGGCCGGAGACGGCGUUGGCUGGGCUGGGGGAGCCCAAAGGUGGGAAUGGAGAGCAGCCACAGCCCAAAGCCACCGUCAUCUGAGCCACGGGAGCCCAAAGAUGGGAAUGGAGAACCCCACAGCCCAAAGCCACCAUCAUCUGAGCCACAGGAGCCCAAAGGUGGGAAUGGAGAGCAGCCACAGCCCAAAGCCACCGUCAUCUGAGCCACGGGAGCCCAAAGAUGGGAAUGGAGAACACCCAAAGAUGGGAAUGGAGAACCCCACAGCCCAAAGCCACCAUCAUCUGAGCCACAGGAGCCCAAAACCAGGGGCAGGAGAACCCCCAGAGAGUCACCAUCAUCUGAGCCAUAGGAGCCCAAAGAUGGCAAUGGACAACUCCCAAAGGUGGGAAUGGAGAACUCCCAGAGCCACCGCAGGCCAAAGCCAUCAUCAUCUGAGCCACACAACCCCAAAGAUUGGAAUGGAGAACCCCUAAAGAUGGGAAUGGAGAACCCCUAAAGAUUGGAAUGGAGAAUCCUUAAAAAUUGGAAUGGAAAGCCCCCAAAGAUGGGAAUGGAAAAUCCCCAAAGAUGGGAAUGGAGAAUCUCCAGAGCCACCACAGCCCAAAGCCACCAUCAUCCGAGCCACAGGACCCCAAAAAUGGGGCCAGGAGAAAGAACCCCCAGAACCACCAUCAUGUGGGCCACAGGACCCCAAAAAUGCAGCCAGGAAAACCCCAGAGCCACAACAGUCUGAGCUGUGGGACCCCAAAACCAGGGCUGGGAGCCCCUCAGUGCCCAAGUUCAUCUCCUUCGCCAUGGGAGCCCAGAAAUGGAUCCAGGAAAGCCCCCAGAGCCCACGGUGUCACCCUGAGACCCCCAGAGCCACCACAAGCCUGUCUCCUUCCUCCUGUGGGCCGUGGGACCCCCACACUGGAGCUGGGGCACCCCCAGAGCCAGCUGGGCAUCCCCAGCCCAGCAGAGGAUCCCCAGGGAGCAGCAGAGCAGCCGUGGGGAGCCCAGCCUCGGCUGGGGGACAUCUCGGGGACAGGGCACGUGGUGGCACUGUGCAUUAAACAUGUCCCACCCUCCA